GGCUGGUCUACGUGCAGUGGUGUUUACAACUUAUUGAUCACAACCAGUUAAAGAUUCCUUUGUUCCUUCCCUACUCUCAGUGUUACACUUGACUAGUCUAAA
rnacentral:Y_RNA from 1 species